AACAAAAUCAUUUCUUAUACUACAUAAAACUCAGUAGAAUGGUUUCUCAAAGGAUGAUUUUCUUGGUUGCUCUUCUACUUGCAGUUGUCGUUGGCUGUCAUGGUGGAAGAGUGUGUGAUACCACCAAGGUCUGCCCACCAUGCAAAAUUGGUGAGCCACUCUGUCUGGAUGGGAUGUGCACUUGUUUGGACAUCCAAGGCAAUGUUAAAUCAGAUGAUGAAACACUAUGUCAUUUGGACAAGGAGUGCCCGCCGUGCAAUGACGGUAAGCCAUACUGUUCCGAAGGGCUUUGCACAUGUCUACCCGAUCACUAGUCCGAUGCUAUCAAAAUUGAAGUGUUGGUUGCAAAGCAGACAUCGAUUUUGCCAACCAUUGUAAACCAAAUUGUCGUUCCUACAAUAGUAAUUAUUCUCUCUGUCCCAUUAAAAAUAAAACGUUGUCCUUUUGGAUUGUCCAAUUAAAAAUGAAAUAUUUGUUAAAAUGGAAACAAUAUUAUCCUAUUUUUUUA